rnacentral:rRNA from 1 species
AUGCCUAGGAAUCUGCCUGGUAGUGGGGGAUAACGUUCGGAAACGGACGCUAAUACCGCAUACGUCCUACGGGAGAAAGCAGGGGACCUUCGGGCCUUGCGCUUUCAGAUGAGCCUAGGUCGGAUUAGCUAGUUGGUGGGGUAAUGGCUCACCAAGGCGACGAUCCGUAACUGGUCUGAGAGGAUGAUCAGUCACACUGGAACUGAGACACGGUCCAGACUCCUACGGGAGGCAGCAGUGGGGAAUAUUGGACAAUGGGCGAAAGCCUGAUCCAGCCAUGCCGCGUGUGUGAAGAAGGUCUUCGGAUUGUAAAGCACUUUAAGUUGGGAGGAAGGGUUGUAG